rnacentral:rRNA from 1 species
UGUGGAGAGUUUGAUCCUGGCUCAGGACGAACGCUGGCGGCGUGCUUAACACAUGCAAGUCGAACGGUAAGGCCCCAGCUUGCUGGGGUACACGAGUGGCGAACGGGUGAGUAACACGUGGGUGACCUGCCCCGCACUUCGGGAUAAGCCUGGGAAACUGGGUCUAAUACCGGAUAGGACCGCAUCGUGAGGAUGUGGUGGAAAGUUUUUUCGGUGUGGGAUGGGCCCGCGGCCUAUCAGCUUGUUGGUGGGGUAAUGGCCUACCAAGGCGGCGACGGGUAGCCGGCCUGAGAGGGUGGACGGCCACAUUGGGACUGAGACACGGCCCAGACUCCUACGGGAGGCAGCAGUGGGGAAUAUUGCACAAUGGGCGGAAGCCUGAUGCAGCGACGCCGCGUGGGGGAUGACGGCCUUCGGGUUGUAAACUCCUUUCACCAUCGACGAAGGUUUUCUGACGGUAGAUGGAGAAGAAGCACCGGCUAACUACGUGCCAGCAGCCGCGGUAAUACGUAGGGUGCGAGCGUUGUCCGGAAUUACUGGGCGUAAAGAGCUCGUAGGUGGUUUGUCGCGUCGUCUGUGAAAUUCCGGGGCUUAACUCCGGGCGUGCAGGCGAUACGGGCAUAACUUGAGUACUGUAGGGGAGACUGGAAUUCCUGGUGUAGCGGUGAAAUGCGCAGAUAUCAGGAGGAACACCGGUGGCGAAGGCGGGUCUCUGGGCAGUAACUGACGCUGAGGAGCGAAAGCAUGGGUAGCGAACAGGAUUAGAUACCCUGGUAGUCCAUGCCGUAAACGGUGGGCGCUAGGUGUAGGGGUCUUCCACGACUUCUGUGCCGUAGCUAACGCAUUAAGCGCCCCGCCUGGGGAGUACGGCC